AAGUUGAAAGAUCUUAUACUACUUAAAAACUUAACACAUUUAUUGUUCAUGAGCAUAUUAGCCUGUCAAAUCAAUCAUUUAUCCAAUGAUUCCGAUUGAACACGUUUAUGAAAUAUCUUGAUAAAAAGUCCAGAUAAAAUUUUGUAGUCUCACUGUAAGUUGUUAAGACAAGAAACAAUUAAUGCGCGCGUAACACUUUUGUUUUAAACCUGACCCGUGCUGGUUCAUUCAUUGAACAGCACUUACAUUUUCGGCAUGCGUGGCGUCGGUAAAACAAACGUAUCCUUUAUCGUGUCAAAGCUGUAAACACCUGCAGGUCUUUGCAAGCCAAGUAUGCUGCCCUAUAAAAGCCAAACAUUCAAUAUUUCAUUGUGCUCAAAAGUGAACAGUAAAACAUUCUGCUAAAUACAAAGUUGCUGUUGAAGAAGCGUUCGAAAAGCUGAACUCCUGCAAAAGUCAUGAAGAAUUUCUUGGUCAUCUUGCUUAUGUUAUCUACCAUGACCCUGUGCUUGGCGAAGCCGAAAUGGAUAUGGUUCGAUGAGGAAGAGAAGAAUGAUGGGGAUUUUAACGAUGAAGUCUUGACAAGAGAAAAAGGAAAGAAUGAUGAGAAUCUGAUGAAUAAACCCCCGAAGUGUCCUGAUAAUAAUGGUGCACCGUUUUGCCGUUACAAGGGAAAGAGACUAAUUUCUAGGAAUUAAUAUCAUACAGUAUAUGUAAACUAUUCAUGAUAUUGAUAAUAAACGUAUCAAUCGAUGAUUUUUCUCUAAAUAGGUUAUUUCUCAUCUUUCUUUGUUCAUUAGAAUUAACGAAUUAACGGUUACUUGCCCUAUUUCCGGGUUUGUGCGGUCCAUUCCUUUAUAUAAUUGCCUGGCCAUUGCGCGUGUAGUCCAAGCGCUUGCGCACAAGCGCUUUUGGCGAAACCCCAGCUUCGUUUAGUAAACCGAUUUGCUCGUCUGUAACUGGAACAAAACGGGGGAAAUUUGUUUUGGUCUACGGCACGCAGGCGAGUCUGGAGGUGAAUAGUGCAAGGGUAUCCGAAGCUGAGCGACCAAUCAAAUUGCACGGAAAACACUAUCCACCUCCUGAGUAACCUGCGAGCAGGCGUUUACUCCAACCCAAAUAAACACCUGCUCGCAUGGUACUUCACGAAUAAAAGUUUCGUAUAUCUGCUCACCUGCGAACGGGCAUGCUCUGGGACGAGAUUGAUAUCUGCUCAAAUAGUUUUCUUUAACAAGACAUUUUAUUUCGAAAGUGACAAUGAACAGUUUACACCGGGUUUCGACGUCAUUUCCCAAAUAAUUAUAUAACUGAAACAUUUACAUUAAAUUUACCAAAUUGGCAAAUGCAGCGUUACGUUAGAUAAAGUUUUCAAAAAUACUUGAAUGUGUGUUUGAACGACUUAUCAACCAAUUCAACAGAGGAAAAGUCACAUAUAAGAACAGCUUUUACUUUUUUUCCAUUUUCGGUUUUUCCGGCCAAAUAACAGGUAUGAUAAGCGUGUCUUCUCGUUGUCACAUGGGCUGUUCCUUCACUUCUUUGGUGUAAGACGUAGUUACCGACGUUCUUUGACUUCGCAAGCUGACCGAUGUGUGUUGCGUUAAUCUCCGUGGACGGCUGUUUCUUUCUUUACCAACGAAAGCGAGCAAAGUUCGCCUGUAAUCGGGUAGACGUAGGGCAUAUAGAAUUGGGUUAGCCCCAAAAUUCAACAUGGCAAUUGGUACGUAACAAUAGGAGAGGUUAAACAAUGUGUACGCGAUUUCAUCUUCACCAAGGUAGCCCAAUCUCGUUAGAAAAUCCAGUUGUUUCAAUAAGAAAAAAGGAAAGGCGGUGAGGAAGAGAAUCAGCGUAAGAAUCAUCACAGUCUUUGCGAUAUCCUUGUGCUUGGCAUUUUGAGGAUUUCCAGUGCUUCGUCCACUUCGAAUUAUCUCGAACGCAACUUGGAUAUUCAAAACUAUUUGAACGACAAGUGCGAUUUGCAGUACCCCUAUACGAGCUGUCAAAAUUUUUAAGCUAGUACGCCAUUCUGCAGGGUAAAUAAGCCAUACGAUGCAGCUGAAGCCCAACAGACAUGCGAAGAGCCAGAGCGAUAUACAAACUAAUGCAAUCCUUGGCGUUGUGAGGCAGUAGCGACUUUUUAGCGGAUAUUUUGUGAGUAGGAAAAUUUGCACAGCGAAGAAUGUUAACAAUAGGAACGAAGCAGAAACACUAAAUCCCCAGCCAAAAUUAACAAUCCCGAAGUACAGAUUGCUUGGAGUUUUGUAGAAAUAUGUAUCUCCCCACAAACAGAAAGCUGAUAUGCAUGAAAUUAGGUCAGCGGUCGCCAAGUUGAGUAUGGUUACCCAUGGUCCUCUUCGAAGUAUUUUCAAAGGGUCGAUAACAAUGGCAAUGAUUACAGCCAAGUUGAGUAGCAUGCCCACUGCUGCCACAGACAUAGUGGCGAUUCCGAUUUUCGUCAUGUCUUCCCCAGUAAGUUGAUACCUUUGCUGUAUAAGAGAAUAUAAUUUAAAAAAAAUUGUUUCUGGUGUUAUGCACCUAGGUGAAGAUAUAUGUUUGGUGGUGGGAAUAGAACCCGCGACUUUUGGUUUGCUAGUCUGUUGCUCUACUAACUGAGCUAGAGCAUUGGUUUGAGCCACCGACUUGACCUCGUGGCUCAGUUGGGAGAGCAUUAGAUUAGCAAACCAAAAGUCGCGGGUUCAAUUCCCACCGCGGUCAAGGAAAUUUUUUCAGCCUGCCCGGUGUGGACACACUCAGAGACAACAUCAAAGUAAUAAACACCUUAGUUAAUAACAUAGCUGGUUUGGAAACUCACUAGAAUAACAAUAUAACUCAUUAUCUAUGUUAAUCAACGUUUAUUCAUAAAUCUGGUCGUUCACCGUCACGUGCGUAUUGUAUUUUUGCCCAGCUAACCAAUAGCAAUGUCUUAAGAAAGUCACCUAUCCGUGACUCGGACAAUAGGGUAAGUUGGAAAUUGCUAUUGGUGGAUUUGGCAAAAAUACAAUACACACGUGACGAUGAAGGACCAUAUUUAUGAAUAAACGUUGACCAACAGUCCAACAUAGAUAAUGAGUUAUGUUGUUAUUCUAAUGAGUUUCCAAACCAUCUAUUCUAUUAACUAUGUAAACACAAAGUAAUGAUUAUUAAUAAUGCUUGUGAAACUCAUUAAUAAUUCAUGAAGAAAACACAAAACAAAUCAUGAGCGUGAAGGAGUUUAUAUCUGAUACAAAAUCAUCUCAACAAAAAUCAUUUAUUUACUUUAAACUGUUAAACUAAACUACCGCGCAUGCACACACAGCAGUUGCGCUCUAAGCAUGAGGGUCAGCUCAUCACUAUAGAGUGUGCCAAAUACUUUUUUAUGGCAAUCUUCUCUCCCAACAAGGGUUGAUGAUAGAAAGUACUCUUUGUUGCACUCGUUCAAUAACAUCACUAAGGUAUUAAUUAGGUAGUGCAUAAUGAAGGACCUGAGUAUUAUAUUCAAGGAUGGUCUUACACAGGUACAAUAAAAGAGCAGUAACGCUGACGGUGGGGUUUUUGUUCGUUUGAGUUGGAUGAUAAAAUAAAUCCGCUUGUUUGCCUUCUUAACGAUAUUGUUGACAUGCUGGUUCCAUUUUAGAUCGUUACUAGUCGUUAGGCCCAAGAUUUUGACAUGAUUAACAAUGUCUAAAUUACUGCCGUUGAUACGGAUAUUUGAAAAAUCUAAUUCUUCCUCUCCAAAGUGUAUGAAAAAUCUAUUCGUCCCUUCUAAACUCUUUACAUUUGGUGCGUUACUGGUUAUGUUGGAGGAAAACAUGGUCCAAAUACAAUAGCUGUUAAUGAGAUUCUUUUGUUAGCUCUCCUCCAAUAUGGCCGCCAUGACAUCAAUUGCAAACCAAGAAUUGAGUUGCAAACGUUACAUUUGGCGCUAUUGAGUUGUAGCCGAUACAACACGGUCGCUCAUGUUGUAAAUAGUUUGAUAGUUUCAAGGAAUUUUUUUCUUUCACUAAAUGCUUCAUAGUUUUUUCUUAAAUUGCACUCUUUGCAUGAUUACCCCCCUCGUUCCCAGGAUAUGUAAUGGACCACCCCUUAGAUUUGACUUCUACCGCUAACUAGAAAAGUGAUGGGGGUUGCGGGGGAUUCGCGCAAAGGAACACAAAAGAAAAAAUUCGUGCAAAUAGGAAAGCAAAGAAAAACCCUUAAAAUUCGGGAGAAAACAUUCGAGGGGGGGGGGGGGAAUUGUGCAAGCUGAAUUCUCCCUCCCCCUUUUAACCUAAAGGUAACGGUGAGGGUAGUGGAAGUCAAAUGUAGACUUCACUAAUGUCAGUAAGAGGAAUAUGUAGACAGGUCCGAGGACACUCUACAUGCGAAAACAGUCUUUUAAAAAAGGUGGCUCCCUACACUUUUUAAAUUAAAGAUUUUCUGAUUUGGAUAUGAUUUUCUGGACAAUUAUUACUUGUUUAAAAUCGAAGAGUAUCUGACUGGCAUAACAUAAUAACUAAAGAGUUCAGAAUUUUUCAAAAACUACUCCUAACAGCCGUUGCUAUGGCAACAAUGACGUCACAACAAGGCGGAUAUUUUAUGUUUAAAGUAAUUUAACUCGAAAAAAACUUCGGUGACCCCCAUUUUUUAUUUUAUAAAAUGAUUUCUAUUGGUAUUUUGAAUUAUUUUCAUGAAUUAAAAAUGCCAAAAUUUUUUAAGAUAGGAAAAUGUGAAAACUCGUAAUGAUUUUUUUUUAAAUCAUGAAAAUAAUUCAAAAUAAUAAAAGAAAUCAUUUUAUGAAAUAAAAAUGGGGGUCACAUAUGUCCUUCUUGUAGGUCUAUUGGCAGCUCUUCCUGUUGUUAAUCAAUAAACGGCGAAGGUGUAUUACUGGGGAGAAUGCUACACUGCACCAUCCCAGUCUCUUCCUCAGAGUGACUGUACAAUGUUCAUCCUUAUCUUAAAAUUAGAAUUAGGGUUAGUACUAUAGCGCAUGGGUAAGGAUUAUGAUUAUUUUCCUAAAUGAUUUCUAUUAAUAAUUUGUUUCUACGUUGGUAUGUGCAGUCAACCUGAGCAAGAGACUGGGCUGUCUGUUCAGUGGUAUUAGAGAACUUUUAUUGAAGUUUUAUGUGGUUUUCGUAGUGUAAAUUCCUAGUUAUAAUUUAUGUGUGGGGUUGCCUUGUUGGGACUUCGAGUCCGUCCGCCGAUCCCAUAUCUAACUCGCCUUUGUUUGUUGUAUUAAUAUCUUUUGUUUCGUUCUCACAUAGUAGUGUAAAUUUCGCGAGUUUGAUUAAAGCUUCUUAUUAAAAUAUCCGGCAGCAACGGCAGUACUCCUUAGUUUUUAUGUUAUAUACAAGUCAGAUACUCUUGGUUUUAAAAACAAAUAAUACUCCAGAAAUUCAUAUCCAAAUCAGAAAAUCUUUAAUUUCUAAAAAAGUGUAGCGAGUCACCAAGUCUGCCUCCUCCGCAGGCUCUUGGCACAUAUCAGUCGUAAAUAUAGAUCAGUGGAGGCAGAUCUUGAAUCGUAUACGUGAUGAUGUAAGAUGACACGGAAAACCGCAGAUAACUCAAUUAGUCCGCACAUAUCUGUUCAUGUUUGAAUAACAUUUUCUGCCGUCCAAACUAGCCCUUAGAACAUGAUACUUUUGUCUCAGGUUGAAUCUAAAAUCUUCGUUGGUAAUAGGGUUGGUUAGUGAGUGACUUUACAAUAUGAAAGAUAGGUUUACUGUGUAGAGCAGGAUAACUUAUCACUGUAUCCAGUCCGAGACCAGCGUGAUUGUGCUAAUAAAUCGCUCAUGCAUAACAAUCCUCCGUAUUUAAAAGUCUCCACUUUCAAAGCCAUUUUCGAGAAGCCCAUGUUUACGGACGAAGGAAUGUAUGAAUGGUCUAUUUUCCAUCAUGUUAGUGUAUACGAUCGGAGAAAAGUACAAAUGUAUGCGUUUUCAAACGAAAUCGAUUAGUGACGACGGCUCCUGAACAAAAUAUGAACUAUAUAUACUACCUUCGAAGACGAUGUUGUUCCGUUGCUCGACGCAUUAGAAGAUACGGUUAUCAUGGUAGGCAUACUGGGUGAAGAUGCACCUUGACCUGCUAACGGCAUGCACAGUAAAAAUGCUGUCAACAAUUGAUAUAUCUCGUGUCUACGGCAAAAAACCAUCAUUGCAAAAUACUUUACUUCAGAUCUGAGAGACUGAGCAUAAACAAUGUUCACACUUCUAAGUUCCUUUUAGCAGUGUGCGGUUGAAUUACAAAAAUGCCAAGUUUAUGUGCACACUGACUGUGACGUGAUUUUGAAAUGAACCAAUAGAAGAGUAUGAGAUAAUUUAGUACAUGUCACAUGAAAGUGUUGAUCGCAUUAAAUUUUCUCAAAAAAUCGUUUCACAGAUAAUCCAUUUAUUAGGCCUACACAUGUGUUUUGCAUGGAUGGUACACAUGGCGUGUUGUCGUGAUUAUGGAAAACAUUAAACAGAUCAGCUUUAUCUUCAAGUACACGUUAAAUUAAAUCAAUCUUGUCCUUGAGCUUGUAUUAUUCUGUUUAUGAGAGAUAGAAGUUAGAAUAAAAUAGCCAUCCUGAACUAUUUAUAUGUAAUAUACCAGUAUUGACAACAAACUAAAGCAGUAAUAUGUGUAGAGAUACUAAAUACGACAGAAUUUCGGACCUAAACUCGUUGUUUCUUCCUGAGCUUAUUUGCAUGAGAAGUUCAACAGUUAUAGGCGCAACUCAUGCUACGACGUUUACACUGUAACAGAUAGCUUUCCGUAGCGACGUGAAAAACAUCUAUUCGUACCUUUUAGGAACGCUAUUUUCAGAGGAAUUAUUGUAACGGAGAGAUGUUGUUUCGUUCAGCUUCUGAAAGUAGUAGAUGAGUGAAUGCAUUCUAUAUUUUUUAUUUAAACCCGUCAUCUGUAUGCAAUUCGACUAAACGGCUUCUGAAAAAACGCCGAAACUUUAAGGCGCGUAAAGCUGUAUUUUAUCUAUUGCUCAUGCAUACUCCAUUAAGUCCAUUUUAUUAACCGCUUCUUCGCUUUUGUCGCUAUUUUUUAAAAUUAGCAAUUCAGGGUGAAAGAUCAUUAUUUUGCAAUUUGUACAUUAUAAGUUGGACGUUUGUACCGGGUUUAGUAAGUGCAGGCAUAUGUCAUCAGGUGAAGUUGUUAUUUGAGGCAUGUAGUAAAACACUGACUACCGGAACACCGCCGGAACACCACCGGAACACCACCUAACCCUAACCCCAACCCUAACCCCCAAUCCUAACCCUAACCCCAACCCUAACCCCCAAUCCUAACCCUAACCCCAAACCCUAACCCCAAACAAAAUGGUGGUGUUCCGGUGUUCCGGUGGUGUUCCGGUGUUCCGGUAGUCAGUGUUUUACUACAUGCCGUUAUUUGAUAAUAAAACGUGCUGUGGACAAUGGUUGACCAUGAGGCAUGAGUCCGCAUGACUAUAUUUGAGGGAAUUUAUGCUUAUUUUCUCAUGGAACGUCAAACGUUUUGUAAAGACUUCUACAAACCAAUCUAUGGUUUGAUAUGCUGCAAUUUUCCUCUCCUGACGUAUGUGAACGAGUAGAUGAGUUAUGAAUAUUUAGAUGAUUGUACAUAUAGUGAUAUACUCAGAACAUUCAUAACUUAUUCACUCGUUCACAUCCAUCAGAAAAAAAGAAAAUCGCGCUAGAAAUUGCAGCAAGCAUCUGAUAAAACACGCACUGCGAAUGUUUUAAAUUGCUUCAAAAACGAUCGAUCUAGUAGUAAGUUCACUGGCGAAGUAAUUAAGUCGAAAAGUUAUAUAAAUCAAAGGAAAUCUCUUUCACAUAUAAAGAAUACGACACACUUAUGAUUUUUCUUUGUGUUUUCCUCAUGAAUUAUUAAUGAGUUUUUGAAGGCCGUUUAACGGUACCGUAUCGUUUUCUUUUGUUUGAAAGUAAUUAGUUCCAUCAGCAUUUGGCAGUUAGGGUUAGGGUUGACAUAAUUAUGGACGCAAGUCAACUCUGACCCUAUAAAUUAUAACACAAAUUUGGCAGCAAGACUGGACUGAGUGUUAUUGUUCUUAAUUAACAUCUGGAGAAUAGUUCAGAAAUGUCUUAAUUCAUAUCAUCGCCACUCCUUUUGCACAAACUUGAAAAAGUUCGUGAACAAAAGUUUCACGCCAACUAAAUGAUUCGCACGAAUCACGAUUUUUCAUUAGCGCAUUACGCUUUCCAGUUCACCGAUAUAACACAAAUUGAUCUGGAUCUAAAUUAAAAUCCUGCAGAUUAACUUUUUCUUGUGAUUGAAAACAGAAAUCUGGCGACGUGCACCAAAACAAUUACUGCUACGUGUCGCGCAUAAUUCGUCUGUGAAUUAAGAUCUUAAGAUGAUAUUCAAAAUGUACAUCAACACCGUGAUUAAGUUCAAUCAUAUUCCAGUCUCUUCUGUUCAUGUUUAUUCAAAUUUGCGCACGGUACGAGGAAUUUUUCGCCCCGUAGUCUUGAAAUAUUAAUAAGCAAUUCUAUAAUUAUCUUCUUGACUGGAUAAAUAUUUGUGUUUUGACAUGCUGAUGUUAUUCCAACUUAUUUGUAUGCAGCGAUGGUAAUCUGGGCUUAUGAGUUAUGUUCAAAAUCUCAGUUGAAUAGACACCCAUGCCCUCCUCCGCAAGCAACUCUAUAGUUACAGCCAUAGAUAUCUUAUAUACACUAGAUAGCGCAUCUCUUUUAGUAAAAUUGAAGCCAAGAAUAUUCCAGCGGUUACCCCCAUUUGAAUUGUUACCCAAUUUUUGAAUUGCAAAAUAAUUAGAUGCACUAUCUAGUGUAUAUAAGAUAUCUAUGGUUAUACAGCUGUUAAUAAUUAUAUUGUACUCAAAAAAUUUUUCCAAACAAAUUUUGCCUCACGUUCGUUCAAACAUAUUUGACAACUUUAGAUAUAACUCACAAGCGUCGUGACAAUUGUUCUAGUUUACCACGAGUUUACAGAGUCAUAGAAUAGAAUCCUCGUUGACAUCAGUAAUCAUCACUGAAGAGGUCACCCUACGGAAAUAAAUGUGCGGUUUGAUUUGAACAAAGGGAGUUUAGGUUUUUGUCGAGGGUCGAGUGUCGAGGGUCCAAUGUCGAGGGUGAGGGUAAAAAGUCGAGGGUGAGGGUAAAAAGUCGAGGGUGAGGGUAAAAAGUGGAGGGUCAUAUACAAAAGUCGAGGGUUGUAUUUACGACAACUAAGACAAUUACUAACGAUAAAAGAGUUUUUAAAACGGUUUUUCUCCUUAUGUAAAUCAUGAAUUGAGGGACAAUUCUGGUCUAGAAACUAACUCAUUAAGUUUAUGGUUUGGGUCGUCUGGUUAAAAAGUUUCACGCACGCAGCAUGUCUUCUAGCGAGUAAUGUCUCCAGGCCACUUUUGAUUAACUUAAGGCAUUCUUAGUAAAAAGGCGGAAUUUUUUCAUUAAAAGCAAAGUUAAAGAGUAUUUAUUAUCAAUAGUACACUUAAAAGAAUUUCUAAACGUAGUAUAAUUUCAUAAACAGGCCAAUGGCAAUGUUCAACCUCGCAUCAAGCAAAGGUCUCCGUCCCGCCGCAGGUAUGGAGACCCUUGCUUGCGAGGUUGGUCAAUGACAAUGUUUGGUUAAUCACUUAGCGUUCAUUGGUUUCUUGAAACAGUGGCAUGUCUGCACCGCGCUAACCGCGCUCCGAUCUAGCAGAAAACACACAAGUUUUUUAAUCAUAACUUGCUAUUGGUAAUAUAUUUUGCCUUAAUAUAUUGUCAUUACUGGCUUGAGGAUUACAGUUACCCGAUAAUCUGUGCUGUUACGUUAAUUUGAUAAGAAAGCAAAGAGACCGUUCUCAUAUUAGACAUAAACAUGUUAACUAGCGAGCGUGAAGGGGCUUAGAAAAUAAUCGCUUAGCUAGAAAAUUUACGCAAGGUAGUAUCUUUUAAAAGUUAAUGUAGUUCUGCAUACAUAUAUAUGAUAAGUCCAUGUCACAACAUUAAACAAGUUAUUUUGCCCGCAAAUUUCGACCCUCGACUUUUUUUAUGACCCUCGAAUUUUUACCCUCGCCCUCGACUUUUUACCCUCACCCUCGAUUUUUUACCCUCAUCCUCGACAUUGGACCCUCGACCCUCGACAAAAACCUAAACUCCAACAAAGGUAACCAAGCAUAUUAGAAUUAUAGACAUGAGUGAAUACCCAUUGUACAUUUUUCUAAUGCUUAGUUACCUUUGUUCUUUGACUAUGCUCCUGUGAACUACAGUGGAGCUAAACUUGAGCAACCGUAGCCAGGCAUAUAUGAGUUAUCUAUAGACCGUCUGCAUGGGAUCAAGUCAUAGCGCCGAUAAUAGUGACUUUUUCGAGUAUUCUAAAAUUGGCCGUUGAUUGGUAUAACCCAGCUUAAUGAUGAGCUAAUGGCCGUUUUCCAUUUCAACCGUAUCGAAGCGUAGCCGAUAUUUCUUUGUUUCCUCAAAAGAAAAUUCUACUAUACGUUAUGUUACGGUUGAAAUGCAUGGGAAAACGGCCCAGAAACGUAGCAAAUACAGUAUGAUGAAUAUUUAAUAUCAAAUGGCGCGACGGGAUUACUUAUGAAUAUUAUGAAUAUUGUAGGAAGUAAUAGGAUGAUAUGGAGGAUAAGAUGCGCUUACGAUUACGCGGACGUGACAAAAAAAAUAAACCGUUAUUUUUGUUUUGCCGGUUUACUGAUUUGUUUUUCAUCUGCAUCAGUCCUCGUCGAAAAUUAAUAUUCAUACUCGUGUUGUCCUCACGCCCGCGCGCUAGAUUUAUCUCAUAUUAUUUACGUUGCUCAGGUUUAUUCUCGUAUCGUUCUUCGUACGUUUCUGAUAAAAAAAUCUUUAAUUAUUGAUAUUAAUUAAAAGUUUUCUGAGAACACAAUUUAUCGUUGAAAAACUUGAUUUGUACAAAGAGAAUACAAAUUGCUAUAUGGAAACGUGCCAAAGCAAAGCGCGUCUUUGCGGUCUUGUACGUGAGGGAGAUUACAAGGUCAAAUCGAACAUAGUCAUAGAACAAAACAUUUGACAAGUGCCGUCGAAGUCAGACUUGUUAUGUUGACCUGUUCAGUAGUUUUAUUAUGUAGACCCUUAUAACCUUAGGUAUAUAUUGUUCGUCGCUAUAGCUACACUUGGAACCACACUUUCAAAGUCUUCCCUGUUCCAUAUUCUAUGUUAAAAAUUCUUGCCAAAGUUUUAAGGUACUUUUCACGCACUCAAUGUGAUGAAUGAGUCCGGGUAAUAAAACAGCAAUAUUACGAUCAUUUGAUGUACCAGGCCUAGAAAAUAUAUUUUUCUUCUAGCUGGCAGCAAAAUUCAGAAAUAGAAAUUUCCGGUGUGUAUGUAUAAGUCCUCAUGAUAGCCAAAUGUAUAAGUCCACAUUGUGAUUCUAUAGUAGUAUAGAUUCCAGAGAGAGUAUGGUGGCGCACAUUGUGAUGCUACAGUAGUAUAGAUUUCAGAGAGAGUAUGGUGGCGCACAUUGUGAUGCUACAGUAGUAUAGAUUUCAGAGAGAGUAUGGUGGCGCACAUUGUGAUGCUAUAGUAGUAUAGAUUUCAGAGAGUAUGGUGGCGCACAUUGUGAUGCUACAGUAGUAUAGAUUUCAGAGAGAGUAUGGUGGCGCACAUUGUGAUGCUACAGUAGUAUAGAUUUCAGAGAGAGUAUGGUGGCGCACAUUGUGAUGCUAUUGUAGUAUAGAUUUCAGAGAGAGUAUGGUGGCGCACAUUGUGAUGCUACAGUAGUAUAGAUUUCAGAGAGAGUAUGGUGGCGCACAUUGUGAUGCUACAGUAGUAUAGAUUUCAGAGAGAGUAUGGUGGCGCACAUUGUGAUGCUAUUGUAGUAUAGAUUUCAGAGAGAGUAUGGUGGCGCACAUUGUGAUGCUAUGGUAGUAUAGAUUCCAAAGAGAGUAUGGUGGCGCACAUUGUGAUGCUAUAGUAGUAUAGAUUUCAAAGAGAGUAUGGUGGCGCACAUUGUGAUGCUACAGUAGUAUAGAUUUCAAAGAGAGUAUGGUGGCGCACAUUGUGAUGCUAUAGUAGUAUAGAUUUCAAAGAGAGUAUGGUGGCGCACAUUGUGAUGCUAUAGUAGUAUAGAUUUCAAAGAGAGUAUGGUGGCGCACAUUGUGAUGCUACAGUAGUAUAGAUUUCAAAGAGAGUAUGGUGGCGCACAUUGUGAUGCUACAGUAGUAUAGAUUUCAAAGAGAGUAUGGUGGCGCACAUUGUGAUGCUAUUGUAGUAUAGAUUUCAGAGAGAGUAUGGUGGCGCACAUUGUGAUGCUAUGGUAGUAUAGAUUCCAAAGAGAGUAUGGUGGCGCACAUUGUGAUGCUAUAGUAGUAUAGAUUUCAAAGAGAGUAUGGUGGUGCACAUUGUGAUGCUAUAGUAGUAUAGAUUUCAAAGAGAGUAUGGUGGCGCACAUUGUGAUGCUAUAGUAGUAUAGAUUUCAAAGAGAGUAUGGUGGUGCACAUUGUGAUGCUAUAGUAGUAUAGAUUUCAGAGAGAGUAUGGUGGCGCACAUUGUGAUGCCAUAGUAGUAUAAAUUUCAGAGAGAGUAUGGUGGCACACAUUGUGAUAAACUUCCAUCUUGGUACAAGACAAUCUCGACUUGCAAAAUGCUUUUGUAAACACAAUAAGUAAAUUAUAUGGCAUUCCAGUAUAUGAGAUGACAAACAUUUCCUGCUAUAGGCCAAGGUGUAAGAAAAUUUCCUGGGAAGAUAUUUUGUUAGAAAUUUCCUGGCAGCGGUGCUGCUGUCGCUUCCGGACAUUUUCCUGCUCAGCGAUAUGCUUAUACGUCUUAUAUAUGCUAGCAAACCAAAGGUCAUGGGUUCGAUUCCCACCGCGUUCAAGAAAACUUUUCGCUUGCCCGGUGUGAACACACUCAGAGAAACAUCGCAAUCAAAUAUAUAACUAUUUGUCAUUUACCCAAGCUGUGCCCUUUUUAUUCAACCUCUUUGAGGAUGCUGCAUAUGCCGGCUUUCUCAUCCUCUCGACAUUCCCUUCUUAUGAAAUUCGGCCGUGAGACUUUGCCCCAGCAGUUGUGUUAAAAAUCCCCAGAUGAGUCUAAUCUCUUGCACAUGAACAUAGCAAACACCUGUUCAAAUAUAGAGUAAAUCUGACAACUGAAGAGAUUACAUACAGUAUAAUCCGCGGAUUAUAGUACACUUAAUAUUUAUUUAUUACACUUAAUAUUUACGUUCACCAUAGAUACAGCCACAAUACAGGCUGUUCCAGAAAAUAGCUUUGUUCCAGAUUUUUACACAGCUGUUAGAGAGCUGUGAGCAUCGUAAAUUGAAUCUAAGAGACAAAUUUUGAGACAAAUAUUCUAAAAGCUCACUCACACUCAGAGAAGAGUGGAGGUUCAAUCUGAGCUUCCCUUGAGUGUCAGUGCUGUUUUUGAAUAGCUGAAGGGUUAGUGUCGUACCUUACUAUGACCUAUGUGACUACUCGCCCUCCAGCUAUUCAAAUACAGCACUGACACUCAAGAGAAGCUCAGAUUGAACCUCCACUCUUUGAGUGUGAGUAAGCUUUCAGAAUACAGGCGUAAGAUUACUAAACUUGAUCUACCGGGUGCCCCCCCCCCAAAAAAAAAAAACAACUGGACACUGUUUGAUUUCAUGUAACGUAAAAGCUAUAAAAUCUUUCGUAAUGACAUAAAGAUCAUUGCAUUAAAAAAGGACUAAGUGCCCCCCCCCAAAAAAAAAACUGGACACUGUUUGAUUUCAUGUAACGUAAAAGCUAUAAAAUCUUUCGUAAUGACAUAAAGAUCAUUGCAUUAAAAAAGGACUAAGUGCCCCCCCCCCCCAAAAAAAAAACUGGACACUGUUUGCUUUCAUGUAACGCAAAAGCUAUAAAAGCUUUCGUAAUGACAUAAAGAUCAUUGCAUUCAAAAAGGACUAACUUAUAUUUUGAUAUAUAACACUUGAAUUUACAUGCAAUAUUGAGCGAGAUACGACCAAAAUAAAGACAUUUAUCAUUUAACAAGUAUAACUACAUCGGUAAGAGUUGUUCAACGUUCAAACAUCAAUAGCGCAGUUCUUCUAAACAUCAAUAGCGCAGUUCCGGUAGUAGAAGCGAUGUUACGGGCGGCUAUUUGUGCCUCUUGAUACUUUACACAACUAAUACAUGAUUUGGGUGAAUAUAAUUAGACUUUAUUUUAAAGCCAUAACAGUCGUUCUACUAUAGACCAAUUUACUCUUAGUGUCAAAAUUCAUCUCUUAGAUUUUGAUACCUGUCACGUUUUAGGGGGAUCCAUGGGCGUACCAAUCUCGUCGUGGCAAAGUGGGAUCAUAUAAACAGCCUCUUAUUCAGCCUUUGAUCCCUUGGGAGUGAGGCAGCACUUUCCUUGCGAUAGUAACUUCUUCUAGACUUUUGUAAUUUUGUAUUCCUUUGUAUUUUAAACAUAAACCUUACUCUAAUCCUAACCCUAUCUUAAUCCUUUCCCUAAUCUAAAUCCUAAUCCUAAAAGUCUAAAAAUAGUAACUCCCUCUAAAACGUGACUGGCAUAUGCUUAGAUUAAAUUUCCGAUGCCCACUAAUACAUAGCUGUGUAAAAAUCUCGAACAUAUACCUAUUGCAUUUUUUUUCGGGACAUCUUCGUGGGAAUUAGCGGUUAAAGAAUUGGAUUAUAAGGAAAGAUCCAUGCGAACCACAUUCCAGCGGCUUGCGCCCAUCACACCUUUACAAAUAGUGGUGAAAAAAUAAUAAUCUUUUGUGAAAAAAUAAUAACGUUUUGCUUUAGACCGUAACACUUUGCGCGCCAAUCAGCAAAUAACCAUAUGUUGCGCGAGCAGCGCAUGCAAGGCAGACCUCAACAGCGGCACCCAACAUUCGGAUCAUGCAUGGUUUACUAGCUAUUGACUAAAAAGGUACAGUUCAGCCUUUUGAUUGAUGGUUUUUAAGGUAUAUUUCAGCCCUUUUUAUUGAAGAAACUAACUAGGAAAAUCAAUUAUGCAUAAUUCAAAAUCAGUAAACUCAUUGUUUUUAACAAUAAAAAUGUUUUAAAAUGUUAAAAACAUUAAGUUUGCCGAUCUUGAAUUAUGCAUAAUUGUUAGUUUCUUCAAUAAAAAGGGCUGAAAUGCGCCUUAAAAAUCAUCAUUCAAUGAACUGUGCCUUUAAUAUAUAACCUCAUUAGUUAUUUUCCUUCAAAUGGCGUUCAUAUCACAGACCCAGCUCGAUUUGUAGGGUGGUAAAAGCACAGCGUCUGCUCAGCUUUAGUAGCCCAUUAAAGCAGGCGGUCUACACCUGAACAGCGGGCGAGACGAAGAACGCUUCGCCCGACUUUUAGGUGCGCCUCGCGGGUCUGCCUGCAUGCAGGCUAGAGUUGGGUAGUUACAAUCUGAAUUUCAAUAUCUAUUUCAGCAUUGUUGUGGAAGUGCGAUAGAAGACUUCUUGAACAAUUGUGAAAUUCAUACAUGGAGGUACGAUUUUACUCUUUAUUCUAUAUAUAGAGAUACAAGAUAUUCAAUACCACAUAUAUGUUAGACUAUUCCACUUCAGUGGGUCCUCGGAAAAAUUUAUGUAUAUCUAUUGUGACUAAUUAAAAUUAGCGCAAAAUAUCUUGGCUGAUAGACAGCGGCAAGCCGAAGAUGCGUAACGAUAUUUUUGCUGCGGUGGUGGCGCAACGGUUGAAAUUGCAUUGCCGUCGCACAAGGUGGCUACACCUGUCUCUUUUGUGGCAAUGCAUAAUUUAUGACUCAUUUAUAAUUCAUUUCAUCAGAUGGUCAAGAAGCCUUGACCUCACCCACUGACUUCACCCCCUGACCUCACCUCCUAAUUCUCGGCUAUCGUGGCUCAAAUUCUCAAAAUGAAAUGAUUUGAAAUUUCGGCAACUAUUGCAGAAGGUUCGCGUUGCCGUCGCAAAACAUGAUCUACACAAGCAAUUUUUCUCUCGCAACAGCAAUGUCAAGAUUUUACCGCCAUUGCAUUGCGAUCGCCAGAAAAUAUUGCCCAUGUAUCGGUAGCUUGAAUCAAAUGAUCCUAAUGUUGCUGUUUUAUUGUUAUUAUUAAAUACUAUUUAAAACACGACAACGAGUGUUUUGAAUAGCUUAAAAUACGACUACAAAAGAAUACUAAUUAGGAUGAACAAUUAUAUAAUAAUACUAAUAGGAUGAACAAUUAUAUAAUGCCACAUGCAUGCAUGUGUUUUAUCAGAUAUAUAAUCACUCCAUGACGUGACAUAUUAUAGCUGAUCAUGACAUGUUUGCCACAAGGUUCAUGAAUUAUUAAUGAUGUAUUUUAAUGAUCUUUAAACACUGUAAACUUUCACAUAAAUGAUUUUCGAAGGGCCGCGCGGAAAAUACAUACAUCAUAAGAAGAGAAUAAAUUAUUACUAAUAUAUCAACUAAAUUAUACUUAAGUUCUUUGUAUGUUUGCAUGGUGAUAAAAUAUAAUAGGUUUUGUUUGUGGAAACACCACGUAAAUUUAUUACUGCAAAAUUAAAUUAUACUUAUUUACAAUAUUUGAAUAUAAAAACAAUUAAGGUUUAUAUGCUGAUGUAGAUGUGAUAAUUUAAUAGCUUAUGGACAAUUUUUAAACUUAUAAUAGUUUUGUUUGUGGAACCACCACGUAAAUUUAUUACUGCAAAGCUUUCGAUCCGUAAGCCCGGAUCUUCAUCAGUGCUAAUAAUAUGUUAUUAUUAUAUAUUAUAUAUAUAUAAUAAUAUGUUAUCAUAUUAUUAGCACUGAUGAAGAUCCGGGCUUACGGAUCAAAGCAAUAAUAAAUUUACGUGGUGUUUCCACAAACAAAACUAUUAUAUGUUUUAUCGCCAUGCAAACAUACAAAGAACUUAAUUUUUAAACUUUUUGACUCUCUUAGGAUUUUCAACAAGUUUAUUGGGAGUUGUUCCAAUGCGUUGCUCCUCUGUAGUACUGUACGAAAAGCUAUUUUUCAAGAAAUUCGUUUCUGGUUUAGGUUGAAACAGCUUUAAAUUACUACUGUGCAGUUCGUAACCACUGUUUUCAUAAGUGUGAAAUAAUUGUGUUAUAUAUUGUGGAAGCAUUAAUUGUUGUUCAGAAUUGCGCGAAAUUUGUUCACAAUAUAUGGCGGCCAAACUUUCAAGAUAUUGCGGUUGUGUAAUGUGCUUUUUCUUGUCACGUUCAUGCAAAUGCAUGUUCAAGGGUCCUUUCCAAUGGAAUUAAAGGUUUUCUCAAGAGAUCAAAAUUAGAAUUUUGAAUUGCCCUUUAGAAAAGUGCUUAGAAGAGGAAAAGAAGCGACCACUUUGAAAGUUUGUUUGAUUCCUAAUAUAAUUUAGAGAACGCGCAUGCAAAUCGGAUAUAGGAAUGAAAGAAAACUGAUGCAGGAUUUCGGAAAUGUUCUUUUUAUUAAACGAAGUAUAGGGUAAUUCUCUUCGAUUCAGAAUUUUAAACAAAGUGCUGACUUUUGGCGGUGCAUUUGGAAAGUAUACAGAAUGCAAAUAUCAUGUUGCCAUCUGUGCAAAAAGCCAUCUGCAAAAAGUCAUUAACUUUGUGAUAAUUUUAUUUUUGUGUCAUACUUUGGGUGUCAAAUCAAUCAUUUAUCCAAUAAUAUCGAUAGAACACGUUUAUGAAAUAUCUUGAUAAAAAGUCCAGAUGAAAUUUUGUAGUCUCACUGACACUGUAAGUUGUUCACGAAACAAUUAAUGCGAGGGUAUUACUUUGUUUUAAACCUAACCCGUAGCUACUCUACUAGUUCAUUAAUUUUGGACAACACUUCGGCACUGCAUGGCGUGGGUAAAACAAACGGUUCCUAUACCAAAGCUGUGAACAUCUGCAGGUCUUUGCAAGACAAGUAUGCUGCUCUAUAAAAGCCAGGCUGAAUAUUCAACAUUUCAUUGUGCUCAAAAGUGAACAGUAAAACAUUCUGCUAAAUACAAAGUUGUUGAAGAAGCGUUCGAGAAACUGAACUCCUGCAAAAGUCAUGAAGAAUUUCUUGGUCAUCUUGCUUGUGUUAUCUACCAUGACCCUGUGCUUGGCGAAGCCGAAAUGGAUAUGGUUAGAUGAGGAAGAGAAGAAUGGUGGGAAUUUCAACGAUGAAGUAUUAACAAGAGAAAAAGGAAAGAAUGAGGAGAAUCCGAUGAAAGAAUGGAAGAAGAGAAUUAAUCCUACAUAUGGGUGUACA